rnacentral:rRNA from 1 species
GCUAAUCUGCGAUAAGCGUCGGUAAGGUGAUAUGAACCGUUAUAACCGGCGAUUUCCGAAUGGGGAAACCCAGUGUGUUUCGACACACUAUCAUUAACUGAAUCCAUAGGUUAAUGAGGCGAACCGGGGGAACUGAAACAUCUAAGUACCCCGAGGAAAAGAAAUCAACCGAGAUUCCCCCAGUAGCGGCGAGCGAACGGGGAGGAGCCCAGAGCCUGAAUCAGUGUGUGUGUUAGUGGAAGCGUCUGGAAAGGCACGCGAUACAGGGUGACAGCCCCGUACACAAAAAUGCACAUAUUGUGAGCUCGAUGAGUAGGGCGGGACACGUGGUAUCCUGUCUGAAUAUGGGGGGACCAUCCUCCAAGGCUAAAUACU